CCUACGGGAGGCAGCAGUGAGGAAUAUUGGUCAAUGGACGCAAGUCUGAACCAGCCAUGCCGCGUGCAGGACGACGGCUCUAUGAGUUGUAAACUGCUUUUGUACGAGGGUAAACUCAGAUACGCGUAUCUUUCUGCACGUAUCGUACGAAUAAGGAUCGGCUAACUCCGUGCCAGCAGCCGCGGUAAUACGGAGGAUUCAAGCGUUAUCCGGAUUUAUUGGGUGUAAAGGGUGCGUAGGCGGUCGGAUAAGUUAGAGGUGAAAGCCCGAGGCUCAACUUCGGAAUUGCAUCUGAUACUGUCAGGCUAGAGUGCAGUUGCGGUAGGCGGAAUGUAUGGUGUAGCGGUGAAAUGCUUAGAGAUCAUACAGAACACCGAUUGCGAAGGCAGCCUACUAAGCUACGUCUGACGUUGAGGCACGAAAGCGUGGGGAGCAAACAGGAUUAGAUACCCGUGUAGUC
rnacentral:rRNA from 1 species